AAGUCGUAACAAGGUUUCCGUAGGUGAACCUGCGGAAGGAUCAUUACAAGAUUUUGGGGAUGCCACUUUGUGGGUCCUUGUGCCAAACUCUAAAUAUGUACCUACUAAUAGAAACACUACAAGUCUGACCAGGCUAUAUGCCACUUUAAUAGAAUAAGUUAAAACUUUCAACAACGGAUCUCUUGGCUCUCGCAUCGAUGAAGAACGCAGCGAAAUGCGAUAAGUAAUGUGAAUUGCAGAAUUCCGUGAAUCAUUGAAUCUUUGAACGCACAUUGCGCCCUUUGGUAUUCCUUAGGGCAUGCCUGUUCGAGCGUCACUAAAAACCCCUCUCACAUGUAAUGUGGUGCUGGCUGAAGUGAAGGGAAUUACCCCCAAUUGUCACUCAGUUGAAAUUUAUUGCACAGACAACUAAUUCUGACAAAUGACUUUGUAGACGUUAUUGAGCGUAUAAAUCAGUCAGGAGUUGGUAAAGUUGGGCAUACCUGGACCCCCAUCCAGUAUAUCAA
rnacentral:rRNA from 1 species